GACGAACGCUGGCGGCGUGCUUAACACAUGCAAGUCGAACGGAAAGGCCCUGCUUUUGUGGGGUGCUCGAGUGGCGAACGGGUGAGUAACACGUGAGUAACCUGCCCUUGACUUUGGGAUAACUUCAGGAAACUGGGGCUAAUACCGGAUAGGAGCUCCUGCUGCAUGGUGGGGGUUGGAAAGUUUCGGCGGUUGGGGAUGGACUCGCGGCUUAUCAGCUUGUUGGUGGGGUAGUGGCUUACCAAGGCUUUGACGGGUAGCCGGCCUGAGAGGGUGACCGGCCACGUUGGGACUGAGAUACGGCCCAGAAUCCUACGGGAGGCAGAAGUGGGGAAUAUUGCACAAUGGGCGGAAGCCUGAUGCAGCAACGCCGCGUGCGGGAUGACGGCCUUCGGGUUGUAAACCGCUUUCGCCUGUGACGAAGCGUGAGUGACGGUAAUGGGUAAAGAAGCACCGGCUAACUACGUG
rnacentral:rRNA from 1 species